GAGGGUAUAGCUCAGUGGUAGAGUGUGUGCUUAGCGUGCACGAGGUCCUGGGUUCAAUCCCUAGUACCUCCA
rnacentral:tRNA from 1 species